GACGAACCGAGCAAGCGUUAUUCGGAAUCACUGGGCUUAAAGGGCGCGUAGGCGGGCAUCCAAGUCUGUGGUGAAAUCCGGCAGCUUAACUGUCGAACUGCCGUGGAUACUGGGUGUCUCGAGGGAGGUAGGGGCGUGCGGAACUAUUGGUGGAGCGGUGAAAUGCGUUGAUAUCAAUAGGAACUCCGGUGGCGAAGGCGGCACGCUGGACCUCUUCUGACGCUGAGGCGCGAAAGCCAGGGGAGCGAACGGG
rnacentral:rRNA from 1 species